rnacentral:rRNA from 1 species
UGGAGAGUUUGAUCCUGGCUCAGGAUGAACGCUGGCGGCGUGCUUAACACAUGCAAGUCGAACGGUGAAGCCCAGCUUGCUGGGUGGAUCAGUGGCGAACGGGUGAGUAACACGUGAGCAAUCUGCCCCUGACUCUGGGAUAAGCGCUGGAAACGGCGUCUAAUACUGGAUAUGAACCGUGGAGGCAUCUUCAACGGUUGGAAAGAUUUUUUGGUCAGGGAUGAGCUCGCGGCCUAUCAGCUUGUUGGUGAGGUAAUGGCUCACCAAGGCGUCGACGGGUAGCCGGCCUGAGAGGGUGACCGGCCACACUGGGACUGAGACACGGCCCAGACUCCUACGGGAGGCAGCAGUGGGGAAUAUUGCACAAUGGGCGCAAGCCUGAUGCAGCAACGCCGCGUGAGGGAUGACGGCCUUCGGGUUGUAAACCUCUUUUAGCAGGGAAGAAGCGAAAGUGACGGUACCUGCAGAAAAAGCGCCGGCUAACUACGUGCCAGCAGCCGCGGUAAUACGUAGGGCGCAAGCGUUAUCCGGAAUUAUUGGGCGUAAAGAGCUCGUAGGCGGUUUGUCGCGUCUGCUGUGAAAUCCCGAGGCUCAACCUCGGGUCUGCAGUGGGUACGGGCAGACUAGAGUGCGGUAGGGGAGAUUGGAAUUCCUGGUGUAGCGGUGGAAUGCGCAGAUAUCAGGAGGAACACCGAUGGCGAAGGCAGAUCUCUGGGCCGUAACUGACGCUGAGGAGCGAAAGGGUGGGGAGCAAACAGGCUUAGAUACCCUGGUAGUCCACCCCGUAAACGUUGGGAACUAGUUGUGGGGUCCAUUCCACGGAUUCCGUGACGCAGCUAACGCAUUAAGUUCCCCGCCUGGGGAGUACGGCCGCAAGGCUAAAACUCAAAGGAAUUGACGGGGACCCGCACAAGCGGCGGAGCAUGCGGAUUAAUUCGAUGCAACGCGAAGAACCUUACCAAGGCUUGACAUAUACGAGAACGCUGCAGAAAUGUAGAACUCUUUGGACACUCGUAAACAGGUGGUGCAUGGUUGUCGUCAGCUCGUGUCGUGAGAUGUUGGGUUAAGUCCCGCAACGAGCGCAACCCUCGUUCUAUGUUGCCAGCACGUAAUGGUGGGAACUCAUGGGAUACUGCCGGGGUCAACUCGGAGGAAGGUGGGGAUGACGUCAAAUCAUCAUGCCCCUUAUGUCUUGGGCUUCACGCAUGCUACAAUGGCCGGUACAAAGGGCUGCAAUACCGUAAGGUGGAGCGAAUCCCAAAAAGCCGGUCCCAGUUCGGAUUGAGGUCUGCAACUCGACCUCAUGAAGUCGGAGUCGCUAGUAAUCGCAGAUCAGCAACGCUGCGGUGAAUACGUUCCCGGGUCUUGUACACACCGCCCGUCAAGUCAUGAAAGUCGGUAACACCUGAAGCCGGUGGCCCAACCCUUGUGGAGGGAGCCGUCGAAGGUGGGAUCGGUAAUUAGGACUAAGUCGUAACAAGGUAGCCGUACCGGAAGGUGCGGCUGGAUCACCUCCUUUCUAAGGAGCA